rnacentral:rRNA from 1 species
UACGGAGGAUCCAAGCGUUAUCCGGAUUUAUUGGGUUUAAAGGGUGCGUAGGCGGUCUGUUAAGUCAGUGGUGAAAGUUUGCAGCUCAACUGUAAAAUUGCCAUUGAAACUGGUAGACUUGAGUAUGGUAGAGGUAAGCGGAAUGCGUUGUGUAGCGGUGAAAUGCUUAGAUAUAACGCAGAACCCCAAUUGCGAAGGCAGCUUGCUGGACCAUUACUGACGCUGAGGCACGAAAGCGUGGGGAUCAAACAGG